rnacentral:rRNA from 1 species
UGGGGAAUUUUGGACAAUGGGCGAAAGCCUGAUCCAGCAAUGCCGCGUGUGUGAAGAAGGCCUUCGGGUUGUAAAGCACUUUUGUCCGGAAAGAAAUCCUUGGCUCUAAUACAGUCGGGGGAUGACGGUACCGGAAGAAUAAGCACCGGCUAACUACGUGCCAGCAGCCGCGGUAAUACGUAGGGUGCAAGCGUUAAUCGGAAUUACUGGGCGUAAAGCGUGCGCAGGCGGUUUGCUAAGACCGAUGUGAAAUCCCCGGGCUCAACCUGGGAACUGCAUUGGUGACUGGCAGGCUAGAGUAUGGCAGAGGGGGGUAGAAUUCCACGUGUAGCAGUGAAAUGCGUAGAGAUGUGGAGGAAUACCGAUGGCGAAGGCAGCCCCCUGGGCCAAUACUGACGCUCAUGCACGAAAAGCGUGGGGGAGCAAAACAGGAUUAGAUACCCUGGUAGUCCACGCCCUAAAACGAUGUCAACUAGUUGUUGGGGAUUCAUUUCCUUAGUAACGUAGCUAACGCGUGAAGUUGACCGCCUGGGGAGUACGGUCGCAAGAUUAAAACUCAAAUGAAUUG